ACCGCAGCGGCAGGGCGCCUUGUAAGCGAGAUGUCGCCGGUUCGAUCCCGGCCGGGGGCUCCA
rnacentral:tRNA from 1 species